UGGGGAAUUUUGCGCAAUGGGGGAAACCCUGACGCAGCAACGCCGCGUGAGUGAUGAAGGCUUUCGGGUCGUAAAGCUCUGUCAGAAGGGAAGAAAUGUGGGUGGCUAAUAUCCAUACCACUUGACGGUACCUUCAAAGGAAGCACCGGCUAACUCCGUGCCAGCAGCCGCGGUAAUACGGAGGGUGCGAGCGUUGUUCGGAAUUAUUGGGCGUAAAGCGCGUGUAGGCGGUCUUUUAAGUCUGAUGUGA
rnacentral:rRNA from 1 species